rnacentral:lncRNA from 1 species
UGUUUCACAAACAUCCAACACUUAUUCCUAAUUGCUACAUUACCUUCAUAUUGGACACAAUCAGGACUUGGGUGCCAAACUUGCUUCAGACUCACUGUUGUGUUUUGCCUCUUCAAACUUAUCAAUGGCUACCUGAAGUUCAUCUGAGCCUCCAACAGCUCUCAUAGUAUAGUAAUACACACCAAAAACAAAUGCUGACAAACCUCCAGCCAUAACCAGAUUCUUAGUCUUGGGGACAAGGGCACCGUAUCCUGGAAAACCAACCAUCUUCUCAGAAGGAAUUAACCUAAACUUGUUUUUUUGCUUUUUCCCCUGCAAUAAGAUGCAGAAAAGCGCUGACUUGGGAAUGAUUGAAAAUUCAAGACAUCUGGUGAGAUAAAAAUAGAAAUCACGUCCAUGAAAUGUCACUAAGGCUUUCUUUGUUCUCCUUUCUUAGUUUUGGAUGCACGUAAAGAGUAAAUUGCAUAAUUAAAGAAUCAAGCUGACCAAUAAGUCAUAUACUAUCAUAUUUAAGUAAGCAAGUUCUUUUUCUUUAAAAAUGUAUAACUGAAAAUUUCAGGACAUACCCUUACCUCUGCCUCAACACCUAUUUAGCAAUAUAAAAAUGAAAACAAUUUGGCAGUAUCAUAUUUUUAAUAACUAAGCGAAGGUCUAAAAAAAACAAACUUGAACUCAAGCUGGAGGUAAUUCCAUAAGAAAUUAGUAAUUUACUGCCUUCACUCUAUAUUAUUUCUCCGCUCGAUCUUUACACAUUAGUUCCUCCACAUAAGUGAUUACUUCAAACCGAAUGAGGUUCCUUGUUUUCCAUAUAAGAGCAGUGGUAGUGACAAAUGCUGAAGCUGUUAUAGUAUUCUUCCACAGUCUACUUUUAGCUUUAUUGCACACCCAAAGAAGUUCAGUUUCCCAACAUCCAAUUGUUCUGAUAUGUCCCAACCAAGUACAUAUUAUGGACCACAAUCUGUUUGUAACAGGACACUCAAAGCAUAGAUGAUUGAAGUCCUCUAUAUUCUGUUUGCAGACAAUUGUUCUGAUAUGCCCCAACCAAGUACAAUAUUCUGGUCCACAAUCUAUUUGUAACAGGACACUCAAAGAAUAGAUGAUUAAAGUCCUCUAUAUUCUGUUUGCAGAACACACAAUCUGUUGGAAUCU